rnacentral:rRNA from 1 species
UACGUAGGCAGCGAGCGUUGUUCGGAAUUACUGGGCGUAAAGAGUGUGUAGGCGGUGUUCCCAGUCUGUUGUGAAAAUCUCCCGGCUUAACUGGGAGGGUGCAGCGGAAACUAGAAUGCUAGAGGGUGGGAGAGGUAAGCGGAAUUCCUGGUGUAGCGGUGAAAUGCGUAGAUAUCAGGAGGAACACCUGUGGUGUAGACAGCUUUCUGGACCGUAACUGACGCUGAGACACGAAAGCGUGGGUAGCAAACAGG